CCUUGGGAACUGUGAAAAAAAUACCAGGUGUUAAUGCCCUGCUCCGGCCUAAGCCUUGGGAACUGUAAAGAGAACUAUGAAGGGUAAAGAUCGGUUAGCAAAACAAAGCAGGCGGUUUGCAAGAUAAAGCAGGAUGUGCAUCUCAAAGACAGACCAAACAGUGGAUGAUAAGGGAGUAAAAGAGUGGAAAGUUACUGCUUAGCACUUAGUAGACUGCAAAAGAGAUG